rnacentral:misc_RNA from 1 species
UAGAGUUUUCUAAACUCCCAACCCAUGUGAACUUACCACUGUUGCCUCGGCGGAGCUUGAGGUGGCCUACCCUGUAACGAGUUACCCUGUAAUGACUUACCCGGGAACGCGCUCCAGGUCAACCGCCGGCGGACCACCAAACUCUUGUUAUUUUAUGUAAUCUGAGCGUCUUAUUUUAAUAAGUCA